AGGCCACACCACGUUGAAAUACCGGUUCCCGUACGAUCCCUGAAGUUAAGCAACGUCGAGCCUAGGUCAAUGGCUAACCGCUUGGGAAUACCAGGUGCUGUAA